AUUAUGAAUACGCAUCAAGUGCACGCUAUACUCUUAUCUGUAAUGGUUCUAUUCUUCGCGCAAAGUACAUGCGUCAAUGACUUCGGUCAAAUGAAGAGGUCUUGUAUAGCAAAGGCAAG